rnacentral:rRNA from 1 species
GACGAACGCUGGCGGCGUGCUUAACACAUGCAAGUCGAACGGAAAGGCCCUGCUUUUGUGGGGUGCUCGAGUGGCGAACGGGUGAGUAACACGUGAGUAACCUGCCCUUGACUUUGGGAUAACUUCAGGAAACUGGGGCUAAUACCGGAUAGGAGCUCCUGCUGCAUGGUGGGGGUUGGAAAGUUUCGGCGGUUGGGGAUGGACUCGCGGCUUAUCAGCUUGUUGGUGGGGUAGUGGCUUACCAAGGCUUUGACGGGUAGCCGGCCUGAGAGGGUGACCGGCAAGUGUGGGAUGGGGUGGCGGCGCGACGGGGGACGGGAGGGAGGGGAGAGAAAUGGUGGAACGGGGGGGUGGGCUGGGGGCAGCAGCGGGGGGGGGGGGAGAGCGGACGGCGGGAGGUAACGCGCUGUGGCGUGAGAGGAAGGGGGAGGGAGGGUGAGGGGGAAAGAGGCGCAGGCUAACGAGGGCAGAGGAGCCGGGGUGAGGGAGUGGAACGAGCAAAAAGCAGGGC